UGGCUCAGAAGGUAAAGCGUCUGCCUACAAUGCAGGAGAGCCAGGUUCUAUCCCUGG
rnacentral:tRNA from 1 species